rnacentral:lncRNA from 1 species
UCUUCCUCCUCUUCGGACACCUGCGGCCCCUGCGAGCCGGCCUCCUGCCCGCCCCUGCCCCCGCUGGGCUGCCUGCUGGUGUAAGCGGCGUGUGCGUGUGCAAGAGCCGCUACCCGGUGUGCGGCAGCGACGGCACCACCUACCCGAGCGGCUGCCAGCUGCGCGCCGCCAGCCAGAGGGCCGAGAGCCGCGGGGAGAAGGCCAUCACCCAGGUCAGCAAGGGCACCUGCGAGCAAGUCCUUCCAUAGUGACGCCCCCCAAGGACAUCUGGAAUGUCACUGGUGCCCAGGUGUACUUGAGCUGUGAGGUCAUCGGAAUCCCGACACCUGUCC